rnacentral:rRNA from 1 species
UACGUAGGGGGCAAGCGUUGUCCGGAUUUAUUGGGCGUAAAGAGCGUGUAGGCGGCUCGGUAAGUCCGCUGUGAAGGUCCAGGGCUCAACCCUGGAAUGCCGGUGGAAACUGUCGAGCUAGAGUCCGGAAGAGGCGAGUGGAAUUCCUGGUGUAGCGGUGAAAUGCGUAGAUAUCAGGAGGAACACCGAUGGCGAAGGCAGCUCGCUGGGACGGUACUGACGCUGAGACGCGAAAGCGUGGGGAGCAAACAGG